UACGUAGGGGGCUAGCGUUGUCCGGAAUCAUUGGGCGUAAAGCGCGUGUAGGCGGCCCGGUAAGUCAGAGGUGAAAGCCCGUGGCUCAACCACGGAACGGCCUUUGAUACUGCGAGCCUUGAGUCCUGGAGGGGUUGGCGGAAUUCGUGGUGUAGCGGUGAAAUGCGUAGAUAUCAGGAGGAACACCGGUGGCGAAGGCGGAUCUCUGGGCCGAUACUGACGCUGAGGAGCGAAAGCGUGGGGAGCGAACAGG
rnacentral:rRNA from 1 species